UCGGCGGCGACCGGAAUACUCCACGGCGCUCCCAGGCGGCGGCUUUCCCCUCCCUCACCGCUCACCCUCGGCCACUCCCUAUUCCUCUCCGCCCCUGCCCGCUCCGGCUCUCGCUGCCGCUGCCGCGGGGCGCCGCUAAGGGCACCCGAUAUAGGCGGAGGCGGCUGGCGAAUGGCCCGGUUCGCUAGGGCGUCCAAGGAUUCUGGGAAGCUUGAGAUGCUCCCGUCAAUCCAGCUUCGGGCACUGCGACUGCAAGAUCUACGGCUUCAACGACGACGUGGUGUCCGAUUUCGAUUUCGGAUGGAGACAAACAUGCGAGGUUCAUCAGAGCAUGGUUUUCUUCAGGAGUUCACUUCUCUCCCACCGUUUUAGUCGGCGUGUCUCUGAUACUAUUGGGACGUAAUUGAUGCAUUUUAUUUUGGAGAUGGAUAUGUUAGUGCCGAGCUACAAAACCUACUGUUGUUGUAGGCUUCCAGCUUCAGCGUGUUGAUAAUGGACACCACAAUCAUCAUAACAUCAGCCAUUCAGCAUGAAUUUACUUGUUGUAGGCUUCCAGCUUCAGCGUGUCGAUAAUGGACACCACAAUCAUCAUAACAUCAGCCAUUGGGCAUUAAUUUACUUGUUGUAGGCUUCCAGCUUCAGCAUGUCGAAAAAGGACACCACAAUCAUCAUAACAUUGACAACCUUAUCUACCGCUUUUCAUGAAUUUGGACAUGCUCUUGCAGCUGCAAGGUAUAUAUCUUAUCCGCCCGGACAUGCUCCUUUUUGGUUACAAUGUUGAGAUGCUCAUUUCUGAAUAUUCAACAGCGAGGGCGUGUCCAGAUGGAAUAUGUUGCAGUAUUCAUAGCUGGACCUUUUCCUAGGGCUUUAGUUGCUCUGAACUAUGACCAGCUGCAGAAUCUAACGUUUUUCUCAAUGCUUCGGAUUUAUUGUGCGGGGAUUUGGCAUAAUGUUAUGGUAAGUAAUAGUUUAAUUAGAAAAUGUUUGCUCAAAACAUUUAUUAUCAUUAUCCGUGGUAUGCCCUGCUCACCUGUAGAGAUCCGUUGUGCUCAGAUAUAAUUUGUAUUCUUUCAGUAGUGAGGUCAUCAAACAAGAAAUAAGAAUAAUUACUUUAUGCA